rnacentral:rRNA from 1 species
CGGUAUGGUGCAAGCGUUAUCCGGAUUUACUGGGUGUAAAGGGAGCGCAGGCGGUGCGGCAAGUCUGAUGUGAAAGCCCGGGGCUCAACCCCGGUACUGCAUUGGAAACUGUCGUACUAGAGUGUCGGAGGGGUAAGCGGAAUUCCUAGUGUAGCGGUGAAAUGCGUAGAUAUUAGGAGGAACACCAGUGGCGAAGGCGGCUUACUGGACGAUAACUGACGCUGAGGCUCGAAAGCGUGGGGAGCAA